rnacentral:misc_RNA from 1 species
CCGAGUUCACAACUCCCAAACCCCUGUGAACAUACCACUUGUUGCCUCGGCGGAUCAGCCCGCUCCCGGUAAAACGGGACGGCCCGCCAGAGGACCCCUAAACUCUGUUUCUAUAUGUAACUUCUGAGUAAAACCAUAAAUAAAUCA